AAAGAAAAUGAAAUAUCCAAUCAAAAUAAACAUAAUGGGAGCUGUGUGAAAGGAUAAGCAAGACAUCCUUUCAAUGGCAGUCCUCAUCAGUGCUAUAGUUUCAUCAUCAUCGUCUAGCUAUUUGUACACCAAUUAUUUACAUGGAUUAUUUCCAAGCUGCAAUGAUUACUAUUAAUGAUCAACUCCCAAUCCUUUCUUCUUUAACCAGCUGCAGCAACCUUGUAGCUUUCAGAGUGACACUCACAUUGCUUUCUAGUUUUGAGCGCACAUGGAGGAGGAGGAGAGAAUUUGAGUCAAAUGGGACUGAAGAAUACUGUAGAUUUAGAUCAACAUUGUCAGAAGGAAGUGGGAAUGAAUAGUGGAUAACAACAGCAACUCACACAGUUCCCUUCUCUAUUCUGUGCCAAAAUCUUAAAUCAUUAUAUCAAGAAGCAGGGAGGGGAAAUUCAGAAGAAAGAAAAUGGAGCUUUGGAGGAUGAGCAAGACAUCAUUUCAAUGGCCUAGUCCUCAAAAUCAUCUAUUGCUGCAGCAACCUUCUUUGAAAGUGACACUCCCAUUGCUUUCUAGUUUUAAGCUCACUUGGAAGAGGAGAAGAGAAUAUGAGAUCAGAUGCAGGGGAGUUUAGUUAAAUGUGGCUGUGUCUUUCAAUAUAGGAGUGAAGAUGAUUGAUGAUGCAGAGGAGUAGUGUAGAUCUGGAUCAACAUUGUCAGAAGGAAGUGGGCAUGAAUGCUGGAUAACCACAGCAACUCACAAAGUUCCCUUGUCCAGUCUCUCCCAAUAUCCUAAAUCAUUAUAACAAGAGCAGGUAAGCGAAGAGGUAAUGGAAGAAUAAAAGAGGCACACAAAGGAAGAAGAGUGAAAUAGGUGGUUUGGGAUGGAGGUUACCUCAUCAACAUGAAUGAAUGCCUCAUCUACAGAAGUAAAAGGUAAACGAAGAGGUAAUGGAAGAAUAAAAGAGGUACACAAAGGAAGAAGAGUGAAAUAGGUGGUUUGGGAUGGAGGUUACCUCAUCAACAUGAAUGAAUGCCUCAUCUACAAAAGUAAAAGGGGAAGGUUGGGGCAGUGCAUGUCAUGAUUUUCACGGGCACAGUCUUAUUAUUUGAUUCUCCUCUAACAAAAAUGGAGUUCCCCGUGACUUUACUGACACACAAAAGUUGAGGUUGGGCAUAUAGAUAUAUAUAGAGAGAAAGUCUUAUCAAAUUGUCAUAAAAUAUACAGUGUACGUGCAUCAUCUCUUCUUUUCUAUUCAGAAAAGAUUUGAAGACAUUUAAAAAAGGAGGCUAGUGUUGGCUGGAUGUUCCAUUUUACAAUAUAUUGAUAAAAUUAAAUAAGAAGCCAUAUAUUUAUAUAGUAUUUGUUUUCAGUUUAAAAA